rnacentral:rRNA from 1 species
UACGAAGGGGGCUAGCGUUGCUCGGAAUGACUGGGCGUAAAGGGCGCGUAGGCGGUCUUGUAAGUCAGGCGUGAAAUUCCUGGGCUUAACCUGGGGGCUGCGUCCGAGACUGCUGGGCUUGAGGCCGAGUGAGGGUGGUGGAAUUCCCAGUGUAGAGGUGAAAUUCGUAGAUAUUGGGAAGAACACCGGUGGCGAAGGCGGCCACCUGGCUCGGUGCUGACGCUGAGGCGCGACAGCGUGGGUAGCACUCAGG